rnacentral:misc_RNA from 1 species
GUUGUUGGAGAAGAAAAGACGCUCUGGUGCGAAAGUGUAGAUUUUAGGUCAUUUUUAACCCGUUUUUAGCAAAAUUUAAGCUGUCUUAACAACCAUAAAACAGAGCGAAGGAUGCCAGAAAAUAAUAGGUCUUAUUCUCCGCGAAGAUCGACAAAUUCAAAGCAAGGCGAAGAAGGUACAAGCAAGCGGGAUGCUUCGUCGACCACGCCAAACAACAAGAAAGACGGAGGCUACAACAACAGGCGAAGCUUUUCCGGAUCUAAGAAAGAUAGAAAGUUCACCGGUCGCUGUCGAUUGUUUGUGGGGAAUUUGGGUGACUGUACAGAAGAUGAAAUGAAAGAAAUGUUUUCAAAAUAUGGCGAGGUGGCCGAGAUAUUCGUGAACAAAGACAAAGGUUUUGGGUUCAUUAGAUUCGAUACACGCUUGAAUGCAGAGGCAGCGAAAGCAGGACUAGACUUGACUCAACGCAAAGGCAAGACCAUCCGUGUACGCUUCGCAACGCAUGCUGCAGCAAUUCAAGUCCAUGAACUUGGGCCAUUUGUAACCAAUGAGGUCCUAGAGCAAGGAUUUUCGCAGUUUGGUGAUGUUGAAAGAGCUGUUGUGGUGUGCGAUGAUCGAGGAAAGUCUAAGAACUAUGGUGUUGUCGAGUUUGCACGAAAGAGCUCGGCUAAUGCCGCAAUGACUAAAAUCAAGGACAAUUUGUUUCUGUUGGGAAGAACACCAAAGCCGGUCUCAGUCAAGGCAUAUGCACAAGAAGACGAUGAAGAUGGACUCCCCUCAAAGAACCUUGAACGAAACAAUGGAUAUCAAAAGGAAACUGAGGUACCCCCUCAUUUUGCCACACGCGGUACCUUUGAGUUUGAAUGGGCUCAGAGGUGGCGGUCGCUAGAAGAAAUGGAGCAAACUAGAAGAGAUGCGCUUGAUCAACAGUUCAAAGAAGCCAGAGAAAAACUAGAAACUGAAAUGCAGCAAGCUAUCAAAGAUCAUGAAACGAUGUUAAUGAGACAGGCUGAAAUACAGCAAAAGCAGGAAGAAAUGAGACGGUACGAGGAACGACAACAUAGAGAAGAAAUGAGAAGACAAGAAAGAAUGCAACAAGAGAUGGAAAUGAGAAGACGAGACGAGGAGAGACGAUAUCAUGAUGAAAUGCGAAUGCAGGAAGAAGCGAGACAUAGGGAAGAGAUGAUGUUCAGGCAGAGACAAGAAGAAUUUAUGAGACGGCAAGACGAUAUGAUGAGAAAUGAACGUAUGGGACCCAUGCCAUUCUCACCCAGGGGAAUGCCACCACCAAGAGGGCCUCCAAGAGGAGACUGGGGACCAGGUCCUGGAAUGGGUCCAAUGGGAAUGGGCCCUGGACCAAUGGGACCACCCCCAAGAGGUCCCCCAAUGGGUCCUCGUGGACCAAUGCCAAUGGGCUACUGGUGAUGUAAAUAUAUCGAUAGUAAACAAGAAUGCUGCUGUUCCAGAACAGGACUAUAGUCUAGACUUUACCAUGCUAAAGUGUAGUGAUGGAAUAAAGUACAAUUGGGAUCAAAGGAAGCCAGAAAUUAAAAUGCACAGGGAUCCCGCACGAAUGGAUCAAUUUCUGGAGAAAACAAAAGACAUCAGCCAUGUUUUGUCCUAAACACAUCCUACAAUGCAUUUCGUAUACGAUGUUGCAGGAAAAACUAAAAAGCAACUUAGUGUUUCUCUUUAGACUAUAGAACAUUAUAAGUGUUUUUAACAGUCAUAAUAUAACUAAAGAAAAAAUGAUUUCAUAGGUUUAGCAGAGCCCUGGCAUUGAGAACUCGUUUUCGAGGGCACUUAAAACGCCCUUUUAAUGGAGGGGAAAACACUCACAUUGAAUUUGUAGUAGUCUACUUGUUGUCAACAGGAGACGAGNUCUUCAAAAAGGUCCUUACAUAUCAUUGCUUUGUGUUUUGAAUUAUUUGAAAAAUCCUGGGCUUUCGUGAUGAAAAAGUGGCACCAAACCUGGUUUAUGGAACCACCCUAACCUAAAGUAGUGGCCUUGAUACCGACUCGUACCCAGUCGUUACUCUUUUUAUUCGUGCUUCCCUCGAAUAGGCUUCACGCUUCCCAUUCCCAUGAUCCGUUGCGAGGCGCAAAGAAAGCAAAAGAAGCGACUGGGUACGAGUCUGGCCUUGGUGAUGAUAUGAACGACAUAUUUCUUCAUCAACAGGUGUCUUCAAAGAAAANUUGACUCUGAAGGGUUUCGCGUCGAACUUUUCUUUUUAAUCUGAGAAAAUCAUAUCCAAAGGUCUUCUCUAAGGACGUUUUCUUACUAUGGCAGGCUUAUAAUAUGGCUUCGGUACUUGCCUCCGUUCUUGGUUCAUNUUACAUAUUGAUUACUCUUAAAGGGACAUGGUCCACCAGCAUCCCUUUCGAGCUUUUGUUUAUGUUUGAAAAUAGAAAUACAUCGUAAUAUUAAA